CGCUGAGAUUCCGGGCCCGGCGGCCGCGGGGAGCGGGUGCCAGUUAGGAACGGGGUUGCUGAUCUCCUCGUUUGCGUUUUGGGGGUUCCUUUUGUUCAUAGCAGCAGACUCGAAAAAGCGAGCCGGCUUGGAGGAAUUCCGCCCAGCGAUCCGAGUGCGCAUUGAUCAGUGUCGAGAGAAAAAAAAAGCUACAUAAAUAUAUAUUAUCCACGCCGCCGCCAAGCUCUCCAGUGCCGGAGGAGGCCCCGAGGUUCGCUGCCCCAGGCCCGGACUCCAACCAGGACACCUCUCCCUGACGAUCCGGGGCCCAACCCUAACAGCAAGUACAGUUCUGAGAAUUGUGGAACUUCAUCCUUUCAUUUUAAGACAUUCCUGCCUUUGCUUGAUGGAAUCCUGUCAGAGAAAGGACAGGCCUGGGAAGACCCAGCUAUCUUGUUAGAAAGACCAAAGUCAUCCCAAGUGAAAAGCCCCAGAACAGCAAACGGCAACAGAUGGUUAAAUGUUUUCUUGGCUGAGGAGUUCAGCAUCCACACGUGAGAAAACAGAAGAUGAUCCCGAGCUGUGUGGUGAUCUGUGAUGGGGGUAGCAGCCUUGAGGAGCCAGCACUCAGUCCACCAGGAGCAGGUGCUUAUGACUGUGUUCAGGUGAAACUGGCUUCAAGUCCUGCCUCUCCCACUUACUGACUCUGGGACCUUGGACAGGUUCUUUAAUCUCUUUAUGGCUCUGUUUUCUUAUGUGUGAAAUUGGAAGAGGAAUAGAAGCUUCCUCGUUAAAUGGUGAUGAGGGG
ensembl:lncRNA